rnacentral:rRNA from 1 species
GACGAACGCUGGCGGCGUGCUUAACACAUGCAAGUCGAGCGGUAAGGCCCUUUCGGGGGUACACGAGCGGCGAACGGGUGAGUAACACGUGGGUGACCUGCCCUCAGCUCUGGGAUAAGCCUGGGAAACCGGGUCUAAUACUGGAUAUGACUCCAUGACGCAUGUUGUGGGGUGGAAAGCCUUGUGCGGCUGAGGAUGGGCCCGCGGCCUAUCAGCUUGUUGGUGGGGUGAUGGCCUACCAAGGCGACGACGGGUAGCCGGCCUGAGAGGGCGACCGGCCACACUGGGACUGAGACACGGCCCAGACUCCUACGGGAGGCAGCAGUGGGGAAUCUUGCGCAAUGGGCGAAAGCCUGACGCAGCGACGCCGCGUGAGGGAUGACGGCCUGGUGUAACUACUUCUAGCUCGACGAGACGAGAGUGACGGUAGGAGACGAGAAGAAGACGACCGACCGAA